UACUGCGGUGUCUGCACUGCACUGCAUUGACUUACCUUACUCUUCUCGGGGAACUGGAGUACCAGAGUCGACCAGAGUGCUUUGUGAUCGAUUUAGUGAGUCUUCACUAGCCCUGCUAAAUCGACCCCCCACUUACUACAAGUUCAGACCAGAGGCAAGAUUAAGGAGAGCUGCAGUGUUAGGCUAAAGGAAAACAUGUAAGAACAUACGAAUUGCAAGCAGGGGUGCUGGACCAGGGGUGCUUCCGCUGAUCCUGAUUGCCAGACGGGGUCAGCCCCAUCUUGGCCAGUGUCCAUCUCCAGCAGUCCAGCAGUGGCAUGAAUCAGAUGCUUCAGGGGAAGGUGUAAAAACCUGGCAGCAGGCAGAUGCGGGCUCAACGGCCCCCAGGCUCCUGCCAUGAAUGUGUCAGCCUGAUCUCAGAGUUAGAGGUUGGCUUAAACCCUGAAUCACAAGGUUUAAUAUUCCUUCCAAAAUUUGUUGUAAUUACCGGGUAAUUUGAUACCUCUGGGUAUUCUUCAUAGCCAUAUAAAUAUUCAAUCCUUUUGAAGUUCUUAACCUCAGUGACUCUCUGUGGCAAUAAGUUCCACGCUUUAAUUACAUGUUGUAUGUAGCCA